rnacentral:rRNA from 2 species
AGGCGACGAUCCCUAGCUGGUCUGAGAGGAUGACCAGCCACACUGGAACUGAGACACGGUCCAGACUCCUACGGGAGGCAGCAGUGGGGAAUAUUGCACAAUGGGCGCAAGCCUGAUGCAGCCAUGCCGCGUGUAUGAAGAAGGCCUUCGGGUUGUAAAGUACUUUCAGCGGGGAGGAAGGGAGUAAAGUUAAUACCUUUGCUCAUUGACGUUACCCGCAGAAGAAGCACCGGCUAACUCCGUGCCAGCAGCCGCGGUAAUACGGAGGGUGCAAGCGUUAAUCGGAAUUACUGGGCGUAAAGCGCACGCAGGCGGUUUGUUAAGUCAGAUGUGAAAUCCCCGGGCUCAACCUGGGAACUGCAUCUGAUACUGGCAAGCUUGAGUCUCGUAGAGGGGG